UACGGAGGGAGCUAGCGUUGUUCGGAAUUACUGGGCGUAAAGCGCACGUAGGCGGCUUUGUAAGUUAGAGGUGAAAGCCUGGGGCUCAACCCCAGAAUUGCCUUUAAGACUGCAUCGCUUGAAUCCAGGAGAGGUGAGUGGAAUUCCGAGUGUAGAGGUGAAAUUCGUAGAUAUUCGGAAGAACACCAGUGGCGAAGGCGGCUCACUGGACUGGUAUUGACGCUGAGGUGGCGUAAAAGCGUGGGGGAGCAAACAGG
rnacentral:rRNA from 1 species